GAGUAUUAAAAUACUGGACAAGUCAGAGUCAUAGUAGUAGGUACUAUUUUAUAAAUAUUUGUCGCAACGUUAUAUUUUUUCCUUAUUUAUAUCAUUGUUAAUCUGCUACUAUAAUCUUUACUCAGCACUAUCAUUCAUCCAAGCAUUUACAAAAAUGGCUAUGAACGUGAUUUCACACAACACGUCGUCGUUUUCUGUCCUCCCAGAGAGCAACGAAGAUAUUGUUGACGCUGGCGAUUUUAAAGUCGUUAAAGGUGAGUGAUUUAAUUUUAAUAAAUCUUUUACUACUAAUAAAUAUGAUAUUUGUUUGAUUCGAGAAUUUUUAAUUAUUGAGUUAGAUGAAAAAGAGGAUAUCCAGAAGGAGUUGAUUGCACUGGGAGCGUUGAAAUGGCGCAAGACUCCUUCCUUGGCGGAGACGUCGAGGAACGGUACGAAAGCGGCGAAGAUUGUGAACGUGAAAGUGAGUCCGAGGCCGAUUCAGCAACCGAGGUAGACCGAGUGGAGAACGUGACUCGGUGAGCUCUAGAAUGGGGGAGCCGGAGUUUUAAUAUGUAAAUUUGUUUUUGUUUGUCAUGCAUUCCUUUCUCGGUAGGUUUUAAUUUGACCGAAAGUGGCAAGAAUAAAAAUAAAAAUUAUAAUUUUCUUCGUUUCAAAAUAUUAAUGUCUUUUGUUGUUGGACAUGACCAGCUAAAUGGAGUGAUCUUGUCGGUAAAUAAGUUAUAUUUGAUAUAA
rnacentral:lncRNA from 1 species